GCGCCCGUAGCUCAGUUGGCAGAGCGGUGGGACGGUACCCCACGGUCCCGGGUUCAAGUCUCAGCAGCCGCU